UACGUAGGUGGCAAGCGUUAUCCGGAAUUAUUGGGCGUAAAGAGCGCGCAGGUGGUUAAUUAAGUCUGAUGUGAAAGCCCACGGCUUAACCGUGGAGGGUCAUUGGAAACUGGUUGACUUGAGUGCAGAAGAGGGAAGUGGAAUUCCAUGUGUAGCGGUGAAAUGCAUAGAUAUAACUUAGAACACCGAUAGCGAAGGCAGCUUACCAGACUGAGUCUGACGCUGAUGCACGAGAGCAUGGGUAGCGAACAGG
rnacentral:rRNA from 1 species